rnacentral:rRNA from 1 species
GACGGAGGAUGCAAGUGUUAUCCGGAAUCACUGGGCGUAAAGCGUCUGUGGGUGGUCAAAUAAGUCAACUGUUAAAUCUUGAGGCUCAACCUCAAAAUCGCAGUCGAAACUAUUAGACUAGAGUAUAGUAGGGGUAAAGGGAAUUUCCAGUGGAGCGGUGAAAUGCGUAGAGAUUGGAAAGAACACCGAUGGCGAAGGCACUUUACUGGGCUAUUACUAACACUCAGAGACGAAAGCUAGGGUAGCAAAUGGG